UCCCUGGUGGUUCAGUGGUUUGGAUUCUGCACUUCCAAUGCAGGGGGCCCAGGUUUGAUCCCUGGUUGAGGAA
rfam:TPA: Bos taurus chromosome 11, whole genome shotgun sequence.